GUACACUCCUGCGGGAGGCAGCAGUGAGGAAUAUUGGACAAUGGGUGGAAGCCUGAUCCAGCCAUCCCGCGUGCAGGAAGACGGCCCUAUGGGUUGUAAACUGCUUUUAUCUGGGGAUAAACCUACUUACGUGUAAGUAGCUGAAGGUACCAGAAGAAUAAGCGCCGGCUAACUCCGUGCCAGCAGCCGCGGUAAUACGGAGGGUGCAAGCGUUAUCCGGAUUUAUUGGGUUUAAAGGGUCCGUAGGCGGACUGAUAAGUCAGUGGUGAAAUCCGACAGCUUAACUGUCGAACUGCCAUUGAUACUGUUAGUCUUGAGUAAGGUUGAAGUGGCUGGAAUAAGUAGUGUAGCGGUGAAAUGCAUAGAUAUUACUUAGAACACCAAUUGCGAAGGCAGGUCACUAAGUCUUAACUGACGCUGAUGGACGAAAGCGUGGGGAGCGAACAGGAUUAGAAACCCCGGUAGUCCCAUG
rnacentral:rRNA from 1 species